AUCCCAUGACGUGGGCACUUCCUUAACAAUUCCUUAAACCUCUCCUACGUAUCAUACAAAGUCUCUGACUCUAAUUGGUAAAAGGAAGAGAUAUUAUUCCUCAUCUU